CCCGGUGCUUGUGCGAUGGGGCAACACCCGUUCCCAUCCCGAACACGUAAGUUAAGCCCAUCAGCGCCGAUGGUACUAUGCGGGCAACUGCAUGGGAGAGUAGGUCAGUGCCGGGA
rnacentral:rRNA from 1 species